rnacentral:rRNA from 1 species
GACGAACGCUGGCGGCGUGCUUAACACAUGCAAGUCGAACGGUAAGGCUCCAGCUUGCUGGGGUACACGAGUGGCGAACGGGUGAGUAACACGUGGGUGACCUGCCCUGCACUUCGGGAUAAGCCUGGGAAACUGGGUCUAAUACCGGAUAGGACCAUGGUGUGGAUACUGUGGUGGAAAGUUUUUUCGGUGUGGGAUGGGCCCGCGGCCUAUCAGCUUGGUGGUGGGGUAAUGGCCUACCAAGGCGGCGACGGGUAGCCGGCCUGAGAGGGUGGACGGCCACAUUGGGACUGAGACACGGCCCAGACUCCUACGGGAGGCAGCAGUGGGGAAUAUUGCACAAUGGGCGGAAGCCUGAUGCAGCGACGCCGCGUGGGGGAUGACGGCCUUCGGGUUGUAAACUCCUUUCACCAUCGACGAAGGGUUUCUGACGGUAGAUGGAGAAGAAGCACCGGCUAACUACGUG